ensembl:lncRNA
CCGGGGGCGGCCCCGCGGGUGGGGCCCUCGCGCUGCCGCGGGGCUCCCCUGAGCCUUCUCUUCUCCAGACUGAACUAUCCCAGUUCCCUCAGCCGCUCCCCCGUCAGACUCGUGCUCCUGACCCCUCGCGGCUUCGUAUCCCUUCUCUGGACGCGCUCCAGUGCCUCGAUGUCUUUCUUGUAGCGAGGGGCCCCAGACUGCACACAGUGCUCGGGGUGUGGCCCCACCAGAGCCGAUGAGCACCGCGCUCCUGCUGGCUGCACUACUGCUGAUGCGUGCCCAAGCUUUGAGGCAGGACUGCAGAAUAUGGCUCCAAAUAAAGUCUGCGCUCCUGGUGCUGCAGAAACGCUGUUCGCUCUGAUGCAAUUCUCAACCGCAUCGCCACUGCUGGUUGUUUCCAUUAGAGAGGUAUCUGGUAAUCUGAAAAUGGAUCUAGAAGCCAUUGUUCUAGAUACUGCCGUUGACACGGUGAAAGGAAAGCUCGUGCCCUGCAGAGCUCAGGGCUGGAACAGAUUAAGCAAGCUGUGAGGACACCUGCCGAGAAGCCGUGCAGGUUUUUUCAGGUCUCACAGACUGUUGCAGAAGCACAAACGAACCUGCUGGAGCACUUCCCCUAAGCUGGAACACAAACAGACAGGUCCGAACAAAGAGGACGAAACUUCAGCUUACCUUGAGAAUGUUUGCUGGCUUCUAACAGGACCUCCAGCUUCGGAACAACCUCUCCGUUCUCCACGGAGCCAAGAAGAGCAGCUUGCAGAAACACAGCAUCUCUCCCAUGCAAGCCAGCAGCAGCGGCACGCACAAAGGUGAUGGGUCUCUUCACAGGCAGGCACACGUACGCACGGCGCACCGCCUCUCUGCACUGCCUGUCUCAUCUUGUCUUCGCCCUUCUGGUGAGCAGGAGAAUGCCUCUAGAAGACAGAACCCUCUUAUUUAAGCACAGGAGCAAAGCCACAGCAACAGCAGUGCAAAAUGCACUACAGAUCAGCUGGCAAGGUUGUUCAUUCUGCUAACAAAACUCCCCCAGUUCGUCCUUUGAUAUCUCUAACAAACUCCUCCACCCGCCCACAGCUGCCCAGUGCAGCUCCUGUGCUCUGUGGCAAACCUCAAGGCAGGUGCAGAGAAAUAUGUACCUCUCCAGAAAUGCUGCAGUGGUACUAACUAUCACAAGCCUUUCUUGUCGGGAAAGGAAGACUAGCCUAAUUCUGGGCCCACUGACACACGGUGCAAUAAAAAGGAAAUGAGGAGAGCAUCACAAGAUCCUUACUGCCACACUAACGUUGUCAAAACCAAACCUGCAGUGGGGUUGAAGGGCUGCUCUGUCAUUCCAGUGCCUUCAGUUUUAACUCAUCAUCUUCACCAAACUGUAGCAUGCAUGUAGGAGGCCAUAACUCACGGACUUCCUUCUCCCAUCGAUAAUCAUGUGACGUUUUAAAACAGCAGUCUAAAUUUAGCCCUGGAAAGAUAUGUUACUGAUUUCUGUAAGUGCUGUGACCCCCAAAAAAUAAUUCCUUGAUGUUGUCAUUUCCUCUUCAGCCUCUGCAAGAAGGAGGUUAGUGUGACGUGAAAACAUACAAACACAAGUUUGUAACAUUGAAACUUAGGCCACCAACUUAGUUAACAACUGAACUCACUCAUCAGGUCAAGGCUAUCUCCAGAAGUUUUGAGAUGUUGAUCUUUUUUCGAGGUUUCUCUAGUAGGAUCACCCACGUCAUUGCCAGCUUGAACUCAACUCUCUUUUGCCCUGUAAAAAAAAACAAAACAAAAAAAAAACCCAUGGAAACUUCUUGUGAUCAUCGGUAUCACCAGCAAGGCAAACAACUGCACUUUUGUAGCUUCACGGGGAUAUCUGAAUACAUCCCAAUUUUGCUCUCAGCAAAGAAAGUCUGCACGAAGGCCAGCUGAAGGGUAUAAGUUCUCAGUAGGCAGAGGGUAGAUGAGUGGUGUCAGGUUCCUUUUGUUGUUUUCCUGCGUCUUCUGUUCCUUUGCCAUAUCCACAAUCUCACCCAGCCUCGUCCUAAUUAUGCUGAGUACUUCCUGGUUCCUUCUGUGCCUUUUGUGCCGUCUCUACAUUCAGAUAGUCUGUUGGUCUGUUUUGCUGGAUGUGUUUUCCUUCUCUCUGUAAUUGAAACUUUCUUGAAGUGUUCAGAAGGAAGAUUGUAUCAGUGUGUGUGCUCUCCAUAUCAUUAUCUCUGAGAGCACGCUGAGAAAAGCAGGGAUUCUGACGUGCUUUCCCACAGCACCAUAUUCUUCAUGAUUACUUAAUUUAUUCCUUCUGCAGACACACCAGGCUCAAUAAACCUUCAGGUACUUCUGUUGCUGGGAUGUUGUUCUUGCUCAUCUCUCGCCGAGCUUCAGGGAUAAGCAGUGUCAAGGCAGAAAGCAAACUGAUAGGCGACAGAGUUCUAAAAUUCUGAGUUUUCUAGAGGAUGCAAAUUGUUUCCUUUUACUACCUGACAGUGCAACACAAGUAACUUGCCAUGGCAACCAGUUUACGAGACAGAAAAAAAGUGAGCACCCCCAGGUGCUUUGUUACUGCAGUAAGGGAAGAGGCUGAGACCUUACCCUUUUUGGUCUCCAUUGAGCUGCACGUCAUCUAGGUAAGCCGUCAGUAGAAAUUUAUGCUGUGUUUGGUGCAAGUUAGCUGCUGCAUGAGCCUCUUUGAUACUUGGAUCAAAACUGAAGUGCAGUCAGAAGGAAAGAAGGAAGUGCUCAGAAGAAUUGAAACAAAGCUGGAUUCUCAGAAGCACAAGGCCUAAUCCAUAUCCGCAACAAGCUGACGCAACUCUGCAGAUGCCAGUAAGAGAUGAACCUGUUUCUUCAGAAAUUAAUUUGGUUUCCAUCCUCUGGCAGUCUCGGUUCUUUUCCCAAUUUCUUUCAAGAAAACUCUGCUCUGCAGAGCUGGGAGUAUUCUGGAGUUAUCUGGGACAGAAGAUGGCAUAGGCUCGCAGAGUCUGUGUUCACAUCCAUUCUCUUUACAGAGAUGCUUCUGGGAAGGGCAGACUUUUUGGUAUGCAGCUUACUUGUGUUGGUGAGAGAACUGAGAAAAGACAAAGUCACGUGGUUAAGGACAGCGAGGGAAAACCCUCCUAACUGCAAGGAGAGCAAAACUGAUCUCCGUUAGCUCAGAGGAGGAGGACUGUGGAAGCUGCUAUAUGUGCAAGUGUUCCUAGAAGCCAGUGUGCUUAAGGUUGCACUGAAAGGGACACAGCCACAGUAGAUGUCACCAAUGCGUACCAUCAUCCCAAGGGUCUGGGGCUCACAGAGAUAUCUAAAACUUGGAACAGAAGUGCAGCUGAGAGACCACGCAGAGGAAGAAGACCAGGGUGUACUUCUAACAGCUCUCCUGCAGCUAUCAGCACAUGCCGGUGGACUUGUUAUAGCACGCUGAACGGCACGUUCUUGCUGGCUCACUGGGGCCUGAUCCAAAGCUUACUGCAGGCAAUGAGGAAGAUUCGUGGACUUCUUCAGUGGCCUUUGGACUGCCCUGCGGACACAGAAGCACAAUGGCUGACAGAAGCAGACAAGGGAGAAGAGGAAAGGAGUGCUGUUGAAACCAGGUUUGCAGAAAGGGCAAGUGUUGAGUUUUUAUUAAUGCAGUUAGUUCAGGCUUCAGUUUAGGAAGUGCUGUCGUUGGCAAUUGAUGAUCAAAAUUCCAGGAGCUGAAGGAGCUUUGUAAGGGAUCUGCAGAGCGGAAUAUUCAGCUCAGGAGCUAGGAGUUUCUGAUAAAUCACCGCAGGGAUUUACCCCAGGGUCUCUUCUACAGUGUUUCAAGUAAAGAGGAUGCUGGGAUGGAGUAUUUAGCUAACAGCGUAAUCAUGCAGUGAUGAACUGCGGAGUUCACAGCCAAAGAACUGAUCUGCAAGCAAUGCUGGAGGCCUCCCGGCAGACAGCAUGUCACGUCCACUGCCACGUGCUAAUAACGUUGGAAACAAAGCUGUACCUCGGUCAUUGGCCGUUGAAUUCAUCCCAGAAGAAAUGCAA